AGGAUCUCUACAGAUGUGAAGCAGCCUGCAGAAGCAGCAGAUCUCCAGAUAGUCUUCCUUUGGUCGCAAGAUGACAGUGAGAAUGGAUUGUCAAACUGGACCACUAUGACAAUUUACUCUGAGGGAGAAAAUCCUGUGGGUGUUUAGAAGCUUUACUAUAACAACUGCAUGAUUGGUAACUGCACCAAAGCAGGAGGAAGAUGGCAAAGGAGACUGACACAGCAUGAGAGCUUGCAGACAGCAGUUGGUGACUCUCCAGCAGGAAGCACUGAAAUAUGGAUGGUAAUGCUGAUCCCAACACAAGGUCCCAUGUCUGGGGCACUUGAGACUGAGGUGGUGCCCACCAGAGUGGGACAAAGAACAUGAUCAGAGAACCUCUGAAGAUCUUUUCUUCAUGAGGGCAAGACAAGACUGAAAGACA